GUGGCUAUAGCUUAAUGGUAAAGCUCUGCUCUGUGGAAGCAGUGACCUGGGUCCGAUUCCCAGUAGCCACC
rnacentral:tRNA from 1 species